CGAACUUAUCGAAAGUUUACUUUUGAAGCGGUUAGUGGCGGACUGGUGAGUAACGCGUAAGUAAUCUGCCUAUCAGAGGGGAAUAACAGUGAGAAAUCAUUGCUAAUACCGCAUAUACUAAUUUUAUCGCAUGAUGAAAUUAGGAAAGGAGCAAUCCGCUGAUAGAUGGGCUUGCGUCUGAUUAGUUAGUUGGUAGGGUAAAGGCCUACCAAGACGAUGAUCAGUAGCCGGACUGAGAGGUUGAACGGCCACAUUGGGACUGAGAUACGGCCAGACUCCUACGGGAGGCAGCAGUCGGGAAUAUUGCGCAAUGGAGGAAACUCUGACGCAGUGACGCCGCGUAUAGGAAGAAG
rnacentral:rRNA from 1 species